AUGGGAGGGGGAGAGGAUCCUUGGAUCAGCCGCGCUGCGAAGCGGGACUGGGCAGGAUUGUGCCAAGCGGGACUUUUCCUGCUGCCAGAGCUCCUCCGCAGCGUCACUCGCUGCCGGGAAGGGAGGGAGCGCGGUGUGUGUCUGCCGGGGGCACGGUGCGGAGCGGGAAGAGAUCCUCCGAGAACCCCCAAACUCAUCCUUGCAUGUAGAAAGAAGCUGUCUGCGAGGUGUCUUCUAGGAAUAAAAGCUCUAAUCUGCUGCACUGGGUUUAAUAAAUAUUUCAUCAUCCACCGUUUGGAAUAUUCUCCUGGUGAACCUCAGCAGCUGCACGUCGUGAAAAUAAUGCCUGGUUCGAGAGUGGGGGUUUGCUUCCAUGUUCUGGGCAGUGCACAACUGUACGUCUUGAUAUCGCAGAUAAUCUGGGUUGCUCCUAUCUCAGGGCCUGUACUUCUAUCUCUGUGCAACGCCAUCUCACAGAAGCAUUUUGCAGAAUAA
rnacentral:lncRNA from 1 species